AAGCGUUGUUGUUGAUGACAUUCGUCUCGUGGUGAUGCGGUGUCAUGUUGCCUGUGUAUCCUGGUUUUGAGCUAUUUGAGCUUAAAACAUGUGGAUUAUCGGUUAGUGACACGGCAACGCUCCCUUGGUUGAUGAAAGUCAUCCAAUGAUGCUGUGGUUUGUUAGUWUUCUCCUCGCAUCGCUCGGUGCAUUCUGGGGUCAUUUUGGCUGUUGGCAGCUUGCUUGGCAAUUGAGCUUGGUGGGCUGUUACUGGUUGGGUGUCUUCGGGGAUGUCUAUCGUAAAGGUGCAUGAGUGGUGUUUGGUUUGUUACGGGUGGUUGGCUCUUUGCUUGCGCAACAACUUCCACCUGGCAUACCUCUUCAGUCUUGUGUCAAUGCUUGUAUUGCAUUGAAUGCACRGCGGGUUUCUUGUGUUGCAUGCCUAAUUAAUGGUAUCGUUUGAUGAAUUGGUUUUCCUUUUGUCUUGUGUCGCCUAUGCGAUGUGAGAUGAACCUUGAAGCAGCCUUUGUGAUCCACUCUUUUGAUGCAUACGCAUUGAUUUUGUGGCCCAUUGAGUGUUGCUUGGUCUCAUGGAUAUGGAACCUGGUGUGGGCAUGGAAUCCUAAUGGAUCCUUGUUUGCCCAAGUUUAGUUUUUCUAAAACGAUUGUCUAUCA
rnacentral:misc_RNA from 1 species